ACGCUUUGGGAAACUGGAGCGUUAGGGGCAAACGGGUGCGUAACACGUGGGUGACCUACCCCAGAGUGGGGAACAACGAACCGAAAGGUUCCGCAAUACCGCAUAGGCUCGGCUCUUCAUGGAGCAGAGUAAAGCUCUUUCGGGGGCGCUUUGGGAGGGGCCCGCGGCCCAUCAGGUCGUUGGUGAGGUAAUGGCUCACCAAGCCGAGGACGGGUAGCUGGUCUGAGAGGACGAUCAGCCACACUGGCACUGAGAUACGGGCCAGACGCCUACGGGAGGCAGCAUUGUGAUCUCGAUGUAAACUCGAGC
rnacentral:sRNA from 1 species